GGCGUAGGGGGCCAGCGUUGCUCGGAAUUACUGGGCGUAAAGGGUUCGUAGGCGGUGUGGCAAGUCGGGAGUGAAAUCUCUGGGCUUAACUCAGAGGCUGCUUCCGAAACUGCCGUGCUAGAGUGCGGGAGAGGCGAGUGGAAUUGCAGGUGUAGCGGUGAAAUGCGUAGAUAUCUGCAGGAACACCCGUGGCGAAGGCGGCUCGCUGGACCGCAACUGACGCUGAGGAACGAAAGCUAGGGGAGCAAACAGG
rnacentral:rRNA from 1 species